ensembl:lncRNA
GUCAGAGUCUAGUGCUCAAACCACUACACUGGCCCCAGCAUUUACAGUGGUUUAAAAUCUGUUUUGAAUAGCCCUUAUCUGAAAACUCAAGAUUUUUCCCUUUAUAGAACAUUCCAAAUACUUGUCUUUUCCCAGUCUCUCUUCCUUUUUGUCUUUCACACACACAUACAAAGAAGGGGAGGGAGGAAAAGUGAGAGAGAGAACUAAAGAGCAGGAAUUCUACACCGAGGAAUUACAUCUAAUCACCAUGGUUUCAUUCUUAUUAGCACUAAUCUAGGCCAGUGGUCUGCCAUACUUCUCUGCCUGCGGCCAGAUGAAAAAAAAUACAACUCUAAAAAUACCAAAAGAGUUUUUAAGGCAUAAUGGCUACAUAAUAUAUAUUCUUUUCCUUCUUUUCUGCCUAGAUGUCAGAAUUGCCAAGAGGCUCGGCCCUUUAGCUGGAGAAGGCAAAUUCAUGUUUAAUAUAGAAUAUAUCCCACAGGCAACAAACAGGAAAAUCUUUUUAAAACCAUUUUUGUGAGUUUAAAGUAAGAUCAUUUUGGGGUGGGGGAGGGGGUUCACAGUUCAUUAAAGAAAAGGGAUUAAAAUAAAUGGCAGGAAUCAAACCAGAAUUUAGGUAAGCAAAGGGUGGCAGUUGCUCCCACAUUUUUAGUUCUACCAAAACAUCUCUGACCUUCCUGAAAAAAAAUUCACAAAACACAACAGUCAAUACAAUUUCCUCCUCUCCUACAGCUUCCUUGUUCUUUCUGGUUUUGCUUCCCCAGUUCACAGCUUUCCAGACAAAUACACCUUUCACUAUAAUCUGGACAUAUUGUUGUUUUGUGUCUUCAAGUCAUUUCCAAUUUAUAGUGACCUUGAAACGAUCCUAUUGUGGGUUUUUCUGGGGCUGAGAAUAUGCAGCUCACCCAAGGUCACCCAGUACGCUUACAUAGCCAAGUGAGAAUUGACAGGUUUCAAAAGAAAAACACAUUUCGCUAUAAUUGGGACAGCAGCUUGGUUUUCAUGUGCUUUUCACAGGUGCCCAGUACACAGAAAUUUAACCAGUAAAACAUAUUUUCAUAAAAUGAGAUGCAGUAAUAGGAAAGCCUGCAUACAUUUAACUUCUUUCUGUUGUGUAAAUAUCAAAGGUACUGGUGUCAAGAAGGGGAAGAACAGAGAACAGGUGAAGUGGUUCAGAGCAUCCAUGGCAGCUUAACUGAUCUCUAUUUGACCACAUGAGGAGCUCUGGAAAUGUCAUGAUUGGGUUGGGAAACAAUACAUUCCAUACACAGCAACAUUUCAGGAUGCAAAAGCGAGAAUGAGGAGCAAAUGCCAUCCACUGGGCUUCAAUGGCUGUUAAGAGACUCAUAUCCACAAGCCUUAUAUCUAAAUCCAAACCCCACUAUCCUGACUAAACAGGACAAACUGCAUCCUUCCAGAUGUUAUAUCCCUUCAGUUCUAGUCAUGAUGCCUAAUGAUAAGGAAGACAGGAGUUGUAGUCCAGCAUCUGGAAAGCCACAUGACAUGACAUGACAUGACAUGACAUGACAUAACAUGGCAGGAUGGAUUUGGCCUACAGGCCUUGUGUUUGACACAUGUGCAUCAGAGAGAUCAGAAGCAAAGGCAAGUGCCCUUGAAUAGAGGAAUCUCUUGCUGGCAAUUUCUCUCAUUUUUCCAGGUUUGUUUUGCUUUAUUGCUCCAUUAGUUUGCCAACACACAUGUGUUAAACUGUGUAACAUUAUCUACAGAACAUUGCCUAAUAUUCAAACAUAUUUUGCAAGCAAUUUUCCAUAGUAUGCUGUAUUUUUGCAAGCUUUUUCUACUAAUAUAUACAUUUAAUAAAUGCCAAAUUCAUUUUCCAUUUAGCACUGUGUCAACCUAGCAAAGUUUCAAAGAAUAUGGAGCAAGUGUCUUCUGCAAUCUAGUUCUUCCAAAGGCUCCUAGAAAGAGUUUAGACUUGUUCUUAAAACUGCCCCAGCAACUGGUUGCUGCCAAAUGUAGGAGCUGGUGUUAGUGUUUAUACUUGGGAUUCUUUCGUCACAUCUAUCUGAGCAUUUAUAUCGGAACAAUUUAUUUACUGGUUCAACCAAAAACAAGCAGCAUACAUAUGCAGGCAAACCAUCACACUGAAGAUACAAUGGGUUUAGAGAUCAUUUUCUUGAACUGGUCAAACCAGUUGGCAGCUAUAGCUAGUCAAGCUAUACUAGCCACAAGUCUGUAUGCCUUCAAGUCACCUGACAAUUUAUGUUUCUAUGGCCCCAUGAAUUCCAUAGGGUUUUCUUAGGCAAGGGAUACUUAGAGCUAGUUUUCCAAGUUUCUUCCUUGGAAAUAUGGCAUUCAUUGGUGAUCUCCCAUCCAAGUACUAAGCA